rnacentral:lncRNA from 1 species
AACAGGGGGCCAUGGUGGUGCUUGGGUCAACUGUCAUUCGUGUCCACUCAGAUCCUAUGUCUAAUAGUCCUUGAAAGAUCUAGGGGUUCUCCUUUCUCCGGUGUAGAAUUACUCAGCAUCCUUCCUCAAAGGGACCUGACCUCCCCUUCAAUCAAUGAGUCCUGGAUCUUAGAGCUGACUCACAUGCAGAAACUGGGGAUGCUGCUUCGCUGCCUGAACCUUACUGAGACUUGACCAUAAUUGAUCUACAGCAAAGGGGAGAGGCAGGAGCAGAUCUUCAGGACAGCAAACAUUGUCUGGGAAGGUGGAGAAUUCUGCAGAAUUUCAGAAGCACUGGCUUAGUGUGUUGGAAAUCGUUGAGGCCCUGCCAGACCGUCCGCAUGCCAUCCAGACCGUCCGCAUGCCAUCCAAACCUCCGCAUCAAUGAAAGGGAACUCAGCAAGCAGGAGCUAAGCAGCAAGCAGCCACUGCUCAGUUUGAGGUCCCAGGACAGGAAGAAUUCCUGCAGCAGACACUAAUUGCUUAGGUAAUAGCCAUUCUUCCUUUCUAACAGAAUCCCAGUUACCAUGUGGGUGACGAUGUGCUGUGCUAAAAGCACCUGUCUUC